GACAAUUUUCCUUCUCAAAAAUGUUUUCCUUAAAGGCUAUCGAAUUUCGUUUGUAACAUUAAAUGAAGUCUUUCGUUUGUCAAUAUAAAUGAAAUUCGAUUUUUCACGACCAUUAGCUCUAUAUAAAGGGAAUCGAGCAAGAUUUAUUUCUGUCAUUUCGCUAAAUUUCUUGUAAGCCGUAUUACAAGUAUUUUGUUUUGAGACAGUUUUGUUGAUAAAAUUAUAAACAUCGAAUGAAGUAUUUGGUUUAAUGACGUUGUAUUUGAUAAAAAGAACUGUGUAAAAGUAAGAACUUCGUAUUAAAGGUCAAUGUGUCACUAUUUAAGAAAAAUGUAUCGACGAUAAUGCAGAACAAGCCGUAAUAACUCAAAAUGAUACACUGUUGUUGAUAAUACUGUGACGGUGCCAUGACAUGACACACGCCCCCGAUUCACCGAAUUAUGGUUAGACCAGCGAAGAAAAAGAGAAACAGUGGAGGACAAAAUGUCAAUUUGAAAAAAUUCAUUCGAGAUAAAAGAGAAAUAAAACCUCCUUGUAACCGAUGCCGAUAUGAAUUCAACAUAAUUCAAAAUUCAAUUCAAAACAUUUUAACGAGGAUAAUAGAAAAGAAAUAUUUUACUCAUACUGGGCACUUCGUGAUACUGAAAAACAAAGGCAAUUUAUUUCUAAUUGUAUGCAAAUCGUGGAGCCUAGAUACCACUACGUGCGCGUGGGCGGAAAUAGAACUCCUCGUCAAAAGAAUAAAGCUUAUUUUUUGCAAAAUUGUUUUUUAAAAACGCUCUUGAUAUCAAUGAUCUGCCAAUACGCACCGGCAAAACGGGAAAAACUUGCUAACCAAGUAUUGGAACCUGAGCAAAGAGGCAAACACAGUAAACAUAAAAAUAUCGAUAAGAACAUAGCAUCUGGAAUUAUGGAGUUUAUUGAAAAUAUACCCAAAACCAAAACUCUAAAAUUGGGAUUCCUAUUAAUAAAAAGGAAGAUAUUAAUGAACUAGUUCAAAAUAACCUUAUUCCGCGGUUCUAUCAAUUUAAUUAAAUUAUAUUUUUAGUUAAAACAACAUAAAAAUAAAACGUUCUAACACAA